UACGUAGGGGGCAAGCGUUGUCCGGAUUUAUUGGGCGUAAAGAGCGUGUAGGCGGCCAGGUAGGUCUGCUGUGAAAACUCGAGGCUUAACCUCGAGAUGUCGGCGGAAACCAUCUGGCUAGAGUCCGGAAGAGGAGAGUGGAAUUCCUGGUGUAGCGGUGAAAUGCGCAGAUAUCAGGAAGAACACCCGUGGCGAAGGCGGCUCUCUGGAACGCAACUGACGCUGAGACGCGAAAAGCGUGGGGAGCAAACAGG
rnacentral:rRNA from 1 species